rnacentral:piRNA from 1 species
UNCCUUGCUAGAUUGAACUAUAGGACUA